rnacentral:rRNA from 1 species
CCUACGGGUGGCAUCAGUGAGGACUAUUGGUCAAUGGGCGGAAGCCUGAACCAGCCAAGUCGCGUGCAGGAUGACGGCCCUACGGGUUGUAAACUGCUUCUAUACGGGAGUAACGCGCCUUACGUGUAGGGCUUUGCAUGUACCGUAUGAACAAGGAAAGGCUAAUUCCUGUCCAGCAGCCGCGGUACUACGGUAGGACCGGUCGUUAUCCGGAUUUAAUGGGUUGAACGGGAGCGCCGGCCGCAUGUCAAGCGUGCUGUGAAAUGUCCGGGCUCAACCCGGGCCUUGCAGCGCGAACUGGCGUGCUUGAGUCCGCGGAAGGCAGGCGGAAUUCGACGUGUAGCGGUGAAAUGCGUAGAGA